AUGCGAUGGCAACAAAAACCUCCAUCUCCGCUGAAAACCCUCCUCAAAAACUUUCCCUGUGAAAACCUCCAUCUCCGUCCAAGACCUAGACUCCAUGCAAAACCUGCAUCCGCGCUGCCCGUGACCAAGCCUCCUCCAUCGAGGUCAUGAACUACCUCACCACGACCAGACGUCACUGAGAUCUUCCCCUGCCACGACCAGGUCAUGAACUACCUCGAAUCUUAUGCAUGCCACUUCGACCUACUCCGCCGUAUCAAGUUCCACUCUAGUGUGGUAUUGAUAGACCUCGUUGGGACGUUCGAAGAGGAGAUCGUCGCAUAGGACCUCUGGACUGGCGUCGCCAAGGGAGAAUGGCACCUCACCGAGCAGUUAUAAGGGUGAUCCCUCCACCGAGAUGAAUGUGAAAAUAAAUUGAAAGUGGAGUUUUUAUUUUACCAAGAUGGGCACUCAUAUAUUUUUGAGAAGAAAAGUUCCAAUCCAAGAAGCAAGAUAUAUUGGAACUAAUAUGUAUGUCUAGUAUGUAGGGGGUUUGCUUUUAUUAGACUUAACAUGGAUCCAAAUUUUAUGGAUUAUACCUACAUAUUUUUUGUUUAAAUUGUAUGAUACAUUUGUGGUUCAAUAAUAAGGAAUUUGAUUAGUUGUACUUU